rnacentral:rRNA from 1 species
GAUGAACGCUGGCGGCGUGCCUAAUACAUGCAAGUCGAGCGAAUGGAUUAAGAGCUUGCUCUUAUGAAGUUAGCGGCGGACGGGUGAGUAACACGUGGGUAACCUGCCCAUAAGACUGGGAUAACUCCGGGAAACCGGGGCUAAUACCGGAUAACAUUUUGAACCGCAUGGUUCGAAAUUGAAAGGCGGCUUCGGCUGUCACUUAUGGAUGGACCCGCGUCGCAUUAGCUAGUUGGUGAGGUAACGGCUCACCAAGGCAACGAUGCGUAGCCGACCUGGGAGGGUGAUCGGCCAAACUGGGACUGAGACCCGGCCCAGACGCCUGCGGGAGGCAGCAGUAGGGAAUCUUCCGCAAUGGACGAAAGUCUGACGGAGCAACGCCGCGUGAGUGAUGAAAGCUUUCGGGUCGUAAAACUCUGUUGUUAGGGAAGAACAAGUGCUAGUUGAAUAAGCUGACACCUUGACGGUACCUAACCAGAAAGCCACGGCUAACUACGUGCCAGCAGCCGCGGUAA